AGAGUUUGAUCAUGGCUCAGGACGAACGCUGGCGGCGNGCNUAACACAUGCAAGUCGAGCGGACCGAGCGGCGCGUUGCUGGUUUCCAGCGACAAGCUGCAAAGGUUAGCGGCGAACGGGUGAGUAACACGUGGGUAAUCUGCCCCCAAGACCGGGAUAACAGAGCGAAAGCGCUGCUAAUACCGGAUGACCUCUCUUUAUCGCAUGGUGGAGGGAGCAAAGCGUAAGCGCUUGGGGAUGAGCCCGCGUUCCAUUAGCUAGUUGGUGAGGUAACGGCUCACCAAGGCGACGAUGGAUAGCCGGCCUGAGAGGGUGACCGGCCACACUGGGACUGAGACACGGCCCAGACUCCUACGGGAGGCAGCAGUAGGGAAUUUUCGGCAAUGGGGGAAACCCUGACCGAGCAACGCCGCGUGAGGGAUGAAGGCCUUCGGGUCGUAAACCUCUGUCUUUGGGGACGAUAAUGACGGUACCCGAGGAGGAAGCCCCGGCUAACUACGUGCCAGCAGCCGCGGUAAU
rnacentral:rRNA from 1 species